CAGCUUGUUGGUGAGGUAACGGCUCACCAAGGCGUCGACGGGUAGCCGGCCUGAGAGGGUGACCGGCCACACUGGGACUGAGACACGGCCCAGACUCCUACGGGAGGCAGCAGUGGGGAAUAUUGCACAAUGGGCGCAAGCCUGAUGCAGCAACGCCGCGUGCGGGAUGACGGCCUUCGGGUUGUAANCCGCUUUUAGUAGGGAAGAAGGGCUUCGGCUUGACGGUACCUGCAGAAAAAGGACCGGCUAACUACGUGCCAGCAGCCGCGGUAAUACGUAGGGUCCGAGCGUUGUCCGGAAUUAUUGGGCGUAAAGAGCUCGUAGGCGGUUUGUCGCGUCUGCUGUGAAAACUAGAGGCUCAACCUCUAGCCUGCAGUGGGUACGGGCAGACUGGAGUGCGGUAGGGGAGAAUGGAAUUCCUGGUGUAGCGGUGGAAUGCGCAGAUAUCAGGAGGAACACCGAUGGCGAAGGCAGUUCUCUGGGCCGUAACUGACGCUGAGGAGCGAAAGCGUGGGGAGCGAACAGGAUUAGAUACCCUGGUAGUCCACGCCGU
rnacentral:rRNA from 1 species